UACAGGGGGUGCAAACGUUGCUCGGAAUCAUUGGGCGUAAAGCGCACGUAGGCGGUCUGUUAUGUCGGAUGUGAAAGCCCUUGGCUCAACUGAGGAAGUGCAUCCGAAACUGGCAGGCUAGAGUACUAAAGAGGAUCGCGGAAUUCCCGGUGUAGAGGUGAAAUUCGUAGAUAUCGGGAGGAACACCAGUGGCGAAGGCGGCGAUCUGGGUAGAUACUGACGCUGAGGUGCGAAAGCGUGGGGAGCAAACAGG
rnacentral:rRNA from 1 species